AUAUUUAAGAAGCAGUUUGAUGAAAUUAUUUUUGUCUGCAAUAUGACAUAGUCGAAGAAACUCGCAAAAAGGAAAAAAUAUAGAAUUUAUCUGUUCAUUCGUCGGUAUCCAUAUUUAUAUAUAAGAAACGUUAAUUGGCAAAAAAUAUAUUUCUAUAAUGCUAAUUUCGACUAAAUCCAAGUCCCUGAGUUUCAUUUCGUAAUGUGGAAUCGUAGAACAGUGUAACGUAACGCAAUGUAAACGAUGCCCCAAUUAUAAUAAGGAACGUAAGCACGUGCUAGCUAUACACACGUUCGCGCAAAUUGUGAUGUACUUUCACUCGGAUUUCGUUAAACACGCUUGGUAGAUAUACAGAAAGAUAAGCAAACCGUGGUUACACCUUCCGUACCUGAAAAUUCUGUGAGUUAAUUGGCAAAACUUGUUAAAAAAUUUGAUCGUUUCUUCGAGUUAUUUUUUCGAAUAUAAAACAA